rnacentral:rRNA from 1 species
CCUACGGGCGGCAGCAGUGAGGAAUAUUGGUCAAUGGGCGCGAGCCUGAACCAGCCAAGUCGCGUGAGGGAGGACGGCCCUACGGGUUGUAAACCUCUUUUGCCGGGGAGCAACGGGCGCCACGUGUGGCGCCACUGAGAGUACCCGGAGAAAAAGCAUCGGCUAACUCCGUGCCAGCAGCCGCGGUAAUACGGAGGAUGCGAGCGUUAUCCGGAUUUAUUGGGUUUAAAGGGUGCGUAGGCGGAUCGUUAAGUCAGUGGUCAAAUUGCGGGGCUCAACCCCUUCCCGCCAUUGAAACUGGCGAUCUUGAGUGGAAGAGAAGUAUGCGGAAUGCGUGGUGUAGCGGUGAAAUGCAUAGAUAGCACGCAGAACCCCGAUUGCGAAGGCAGCAUGCCGGCUUCCGACUGACGCUGAAGCACGAAAGCGUGGGGAUCGAACAGGAUUAGAUACCCGUGUAGUC